CGUGCAGUGCCGUCCGUCUGGUCUGUCUCCCUCCGUUUUCGAAUCUCCCCCUCUCCUCUCACAGCCUUGAGCCACCCGUCUCUCUCCGCUUUCCCCUCUUCCUCUCAGCUCGAAGCUUGUUUGCUCUCCUCUCAAAUCUCAUAUGCUAAACUCGAUUCCUCUCAGAUCUCAUAUGUUAAACUCGAUUUGGGCAGGAACGACCUCAAGCUCAUAGCAGUGAGUUGAUUAUAUUUACUGGAACCUAGAUUCAAGCUCCGAUUUUGGUUUUGAUUGCUCCGAUUUUGAUUUUGGAUUGGGGAUCUGGAUUUGACUUUGGAGAUUUCGAUUUGUGCUAUGAGAAUGUCUACUCUAUCUUUCGUCUUCAGGUCCAUCGAACUGACAUCACACCAUGGUGGAUUCAAGAUAUUUGGCAGCAGCUCGUAGAUGCUGUUCAGCAUGAAGGCUAUACUGGGGUGCGAACCUUCGGGAUGAGAUGAGGUACCAACAUCUGAAUCAGAUGAGGGAAUGUUUAUCUAGAGAAGUUUUCUGAGGAUGUGACUGCACCAAGAGGUCGUAUCAAGAUUUGGGUACCUGUGGAGAAUCGGACUCCAUGUAGUUAGGCUCGUCAGCCAUUGGGGGGAUCGCCUGAGAUGCCCCCAUGCAGCUGGCCUCGUCGGCACUGAUCUCGUCAGGCAUGGAGAGAAUUGGCUGAGAUGUAAUUGUUGUGUAGAUUGAGAUACAAUUGGCUGAGAUGCAAUUGUUUUGUAGAUUGAGAGAAACGAGAAUAAUACUAAUCUAGUUACCCUUCCGUAUUAGAUGCUAAUCUGAUGGAACCACCUAUCGAAAUUGGCGCCAUUUUCCUGUGUCUAA